GCUGGGCAUGACGUGGGUGCUUGCAUGUGAGAACAAGGGUGGUGGGAAGGGAGGCAGAGCAGCCAGGGAAAGGGGAAACUAGCACCCUUCCAGGCAAUGAGCUGAGCUGAGGAGGUGCCGAGGCUGCUGGAGAAACCCAGCAAUGCUGCCCAGGGCUGGGGAGAGCAGUCCAGGAAACUGAGAUCAAGCCUAAGCAGCCCAGGCUGGACUGGCAUCUUCCAGGGUGAGGUUUGGGAUUUGCUGAGCCUGUUGCAGGGAGAGAAGGAUGGGAAAGCUGCGGUGUAGCUCAGCUGAGGAGCUGGGGCAGGAGAGAUGUGAUGUGGAAAGGCGCACGCUUGCAGGGACGUGACCUCUGGAAGACACAGCCUCUGGGGUGGCUGUGAAACUGAGCUCCCUCGGUCCGGGCAUUCCCUGGCGGUCAGCAUGGACCAGUGAAACCCCGUGGCAAAACACCCUCCUCACCGCCUGCGCUGGGCUCCAGGGAGAGGGACAAGCCAGCCCAGCUGGGGUCCUGGCCAGCUUCGGGCAGUGGGAAACUGUAGCCAGAAAUGAUGUCAACAAUGCGCUCUGUCAGCUGCAGGGUCCUCCCAGGUGGGAUGAGUACAAACUUCAGCUGCCCAGGUAAGCUGAACCCAGCCCUUGGUUGUACGUGGCACGUCUCUAAUGAACGCAGGGAGGAAACCAGACCUUGGGCGUAAAAAGCUAAAACCAGCCUGUGGGACCUGAGCAUGGGUCAUCAUGGAAGCUGGAAGGUGAAAAAUAUCUGAGAUUCAAGAUUUGGGAGUAAGGAGGGGCUUACAGAUUCACAUGGGUGCCCCUGAGCCCCAGCAGCAGCGCUGGAGCUCUGGAACAAAGCUUUGCUGAUGGUUUCUGACUCCGUUCCUCCUUGUUUAGCCCUGAUGUUGAAGCGUGGGGAGAGGAUGUGAAGUGCUGACCCAGCUAUGCUGCAGCUGGUGGAAAGGCAUCAAGAGCUGCAGGUGGCAAAACACUGAAAAACCCAAAUCCCCAGAGGGCGAGAGCAAAGAACCGUUGGGGAGAGCUGGUAACCAGGGUGGUGGGUGCUGGAGCCACGUGCAAGCUCUCCAUCACCCUCAGCUUCAUGUGGCAGCUUUCCCCCUCCCCUUGCAGCUCUGGGACAUGGAGCAAGUGGCGUGAAGGGAUCCGGAGUUUCCUAAUGAGGUUUUUACCGUCUGCUCAGGGGAUAUUUUUGUUCUUUAGCUAAAUGCAAACAAAGGCAGAAGUAGAUAGGGAAGGGGGGACACUGAUGAAAGCGUGUGCAGGUGAGCUGGCUUUUAUGGGAAGUGUAGCUGGGGGAAAAUUUGGUGUGACAAAAGAGAUUGUAAAUCUCUGCUUUAGCUUGGUGCACUGCAGAAGGAUCCUCCUCUGUGCUCACCUUCCAAUUUGAUUCCUAAAGAAGCAUUUGUUCAAACACAGCAUGGCCUCACCCUGGAAACACAGAAGUUUUGGGGGAGAUGUUGACCCCAGGAGCCCUUCCUGCCCUCUUCCCGUGAACAUCAACCCAGAGCCUCCAAGAAGGAGCCCACCUGCCUGCAAAGAGCAGCGUGAUGUUGGGGCUGAGGUGCAUUUUACCACACAGUGCUUCUCCCUGCAGCACAAUCUUGCCCUACCCCAAAAGACAAGGGUCCCCUGGGUCCGGCGCUGCAGGACAUGCGUGUUCCUCUGCCAGCAUGUAGGUCCCCGAGGAGUGACGCUCCCUGCUACCGGCCACCCCCUCACUCUCCUCCCAACUUUUCAAUAUCUGCUAGGGAGGGGAUGAAGCCAGGUGGGAAUUUAGUUUAUUUUAGUACUCGGCAGAAGGGGAAGGGAAGCAGCUGGGCCCUGCCUGGCCAGCUCUCAUCUCUCACCCCUACCGCCUGCAUCUGGCGGAGCUGCGCCACCCUCCUGGCACUGCUGCCCCAGGGCCCCGACCGCUCUCCCAGCCCCGGGGGGGCCUCUGUGCGUGUCUCAGUGUCUCAGCUUUGGUUUUGUGUUGACAAAGCCACAGAUGUGCCGUCCUGCCAGAUCACGCGCCUGCGAUGUUGCCUGGUUUGGCCUCGAUUUGCAUGAGGCCAGGGAAGAAGCCCGGUGCCGUGUUGCACUAGGUGCUUUCCCAGCCCCUCUGCUCACCCUCGGUGCUUAUGGGCAACUUCAGCCCACGCUGUCCUCCCAGGAAAAAAAAGCCUCCCCCAAAAUUUACACCUCUGUCACAGAGUUUUGCCGUUUCUCGGUUUCUGUAUUGAGAGUUGUGUUUUCUUUUCCCAGGGGGUUCAGAUGGUGGCUGCCAGGAAGCACAGAGGGGGACCUGUAGGUGCCCGCCACAGGGUUUGUCCCUGCUGGAAGCCCCUGGUCCCACACUGCAUUUCCAUCAUGCAACCAAGAGUUAAUUUUGAUUAUCUAUGUCUCAACUGCCAGCAGCUUUUGGACUUUCCCUGCUCCAUCAGCCCCCCCUGAGACGGCAAGAGCAGCUCCUCGGCUGCCGACUGCAUUGUCUUCUCCGGCUGGCAGCAGGCACUGGCCUCUGCUCCCGUGUCAUGGCAGGGAGACGAGAUGCUGCUGAAGGCCGUACCUUGAACACCUGCCAGCCAGGCUAGGAGAAAGUUGGUCCCUUCUCCUUGAAGCCAUUUUCUAUCCAUUCCCCAGCAUUGGCUGUAGGAAAGGGCGUUUUCUGUCAUGUGGGGGCUCUGUGGUCCCGAAAUGGGGCCAGGAGAUGCUGUGGCUUCCUGCUUCACCCCACCUGAGCAUCCUCGCUGCAGUGGUCAUUUCAUCUCCUUUUUCUAGGCAAAGUUAAAAUUCAAACGAAGCCACAUGAAAUGAGCAAACCAAAUACAGAUGUUUUCAAAAGUGGAAUUCCCAUUUCAAUUAAUUUUCUUCAAAGUUUUGACUUUCAGGUUUUGAGCCACUGAAGAGGGGGCUCAGAGUCAGGCAGAGGAAAUCUCUCUUCAGAUCCGGCUGUGCCCUCCCAUUGCUGCGCGAGGGGUCUGAGCCUGCCGCAGGUGGUCCUGGGCAUGGCUCCAUCAGAGCUUUUAGGAGCCGUGGAACUGUGCCACCAUCUACCCGUGCUGGAUUUCGAGGCUUUUUCAGGAGGGAUUGAGGCUGGCUGGAGAUCAGAGCAGUCACUCUCCUAUACCAGGUCACGCAGCCCCUGCCAAGUGUCACUGUGUGCCAUUGUCCCUGCUUGCCAAGAGGAGACCUGCCGCCGCUCCUCAGCACCGUUGCACACCGCCGCACCGGCCCACAUUAAGUAAACCUAAUGAUGCUCUGUGCGGAGCAAGCGUUUCAGUGACCUGGCCUGUGUGUAUUUGCAGUUUGAUCGGCCGGUUGCUGUGACCGUGGUCACAGCCCAGCAACCCAGCGUGGCAUCCCCUGGGUUUUAAAGGAGGCUGUGGGAGCAGGAAUCAGUGUCCGUGCAGGGGGACGUCCAGGACCCCCGGCCCCUCCUCGUGGGACAGUGCAGCAGCCCCAGCUGGGCAGAGGUGUGACACGAGCAGAAUCGCUGGUGCAAACUCCAUCGAUGGUCCCUGACGCCUCAUCCCAGGGGCGACACCUUGCAGCCACCCUCCCCAGAAAUCCUGUAUCUCUGAGUUGAGUUAUAAAAGAGCAGUUAUCAGCUCAGCUGGAGGCAGAGUUGCUCCUGCUUGAUUUUGCACGGGAAAUUAUUCCAACCCCCGCCCCCCCCCCCCCCUUUUUUUUUCCCACAGCUUGUUUCUCUCCAGUGUGAAUUGCAGAAGAAAUAAAAGAAAUUCAGGAUUUUUAAGAAGUUUUACACAGGUUUGCUGGAUUCUCUCCUAUAAGUGGUUAACAGUUCAUCUAAAGUCACAGGAAGCUCUCUGAAGCAAUCUUGCAGUUUACAGCUUUUCCUUUACUAAAUAAGAAAUGGUCAGGAAAUCAAACAGGAAAUUGUGUCUGGAAGGAACAAAAGUUGCGUUGUCAGAACCUGCUUACAAAAGAUUUACUUUAUUUUAACCAGUAAGGAGCCAAGAUCAAUAGUCAGAAGAGGAAGUAGUUUGUGUGAAUUAAAUCACAUGUGAAAAAAAAACCCCAACCAAACACUGGGGAAAACAAGAUGCCUUUGUAAAGAGCAGAUAGGGAUGAAUGGAAGAGAAGGCUUAGCAUCUGCAGCAGCCAAAUGCUGGAAGGUGCUGAGAGACAAAGGGUGUAACCCAGGAUCGGGUGUCUCUCCAGAAGUCUAACAUUGCUCCAUGGCCUCAGCGCCCCAGUAUCUGUGGGAGAUAUUCUACAGCCUGUACAACACACCAGAAACACUGCACCAAGGUGCCCCUUGGGUGGCCACCUCCAGCUCUUCUAACCCAGGCUGUCGAGCACCACGACCCAGCUUUUAUUCACGGUCAGCAGAGUGAUUAUUUUCCUACCACUACCAACGCAACCUGUUGUGCUUUCCAUGCUCACAGUCCUCUGCACUUACACAUCAACACUGCAGGCACGCAGAGUCCUCUCCGCCCAGGGGAUGCAGGUACGUGCGCUGUCGGGUGACACGCUGUCUUGAAUUCAGCUCCGCGGCAGGACUAACCCUUCAUGGGAACUGCACCAGCUCGCCUCAUCCUGGGAUUUGGCCAAAAGCAAGCCAAAAUCCUGCUGUGAACAUGCAGUGCUUUUUGAGAAUCCCAUGCAAAUAUUUGUUGCCGGGUAACCCUACAGUACAUUGGGCUUUGGGUUAAUUAUGGGCUUUAGUUGAGAGACUGUGUAAUCUGUAAUUUACUUUUUUUUUACCAUUAUACUGCUCAUCUUAUCAGCGGUUGGGAAACAAGCUUAGCAAGUACUGGUAUGUGCGGGUAUGUCAGAGGUGAUGAAUCGAAAUCUCUGUCUGGCUGAUGACACCAGGCUUAUUUGGUGGACGCUCAUACCUGGUGGGGACUGACUCAAAGGGGCUUUUUCUCCAGUAUCCUGACCAGUCACUGUCAUGGUUCCCCUGAAAUGAUCUGUCUUCCGUGACAGCUCUUUAGCUGUGUUUGCUCUAAGCUGUAUGUGAUUAAUUCCCAGCUGGUAACGGGACCGUGGCAUGCAGGAGCUGUGCCAGUCAAGAGCAGCUGCAUGGGCUGAGCAAGUGCGGCUUCACAGCCUUUUCCCCUCCUCUUGAGGAAAAGCUCUUGGCGAGGAGGCUGGAAGAAUUACUGUCCUGGGAGCACGAUAGAGGCUGACAAUGGAGACGGUCCCAGCAGUACUUUGUGGCAUGGCCCCGAGCAAAGCACUGCCUGCCAGCACCGAGACAAGUGCUCUGCCUGGAAAUGCUUAGCAAUGGGUUAACGAACAUUUACCAGCUCUUCUAGCAGACAGCAAAGCAGUUCUAAUUUCUAAUGCUUCAUGGAUGGAUUUUGCUACUGCUCUGGUCCUGUCCAUCCCCAACGUGCUGUUUGUGGCCAAGGCUGUGUUGGUGGGAUGAAGAACUGCUCUCUGCCUGCUGGGUCAGGUUGGGCAUGGGUAAAUCCUCUGGUCAGAGGCAGGACGCCAGGUGUGCAGGUGUAUGCCUUGCUCUGCACCUCCCUGUGCUGACACCCCCCUCUCACUCAGAAGGGAAGGUACCGUAAUCCUGGCAGCAUCCAUGAAGGAGACGAGUCCUACACGCCUCCCUGGGGGGUCAUGUCCUGGCAGGAGGCAGAGGGAGGCAGCUGCAGCUGAAGCUCGCGUUGCCCUGCCUCUCUGUGGCAUCCUCCAGCCCUGAAGAGGGAGAUCUGCGAUACUCCCCCAACGUGGUUAAAACAGCUGCUUGUGGGACGUGGGCUGUUGCUCCCACAGGGAAUUCCCACCACCGAGGCAGCUCCCCAGAGCUGGUGCUGAGGCGCGUCCCUGGGCACAGAGGACUUCUGCACACGUGCUGCUCUGGGCAUGGCCCUGUGGCAGGUCCCUGGAGGCACAGCUGGGCCCUCCACACCCCAUCUCUGCUCACAACUGUCCCAAGGCCAGUGAAGUGCCCACACAGCCAUGGAACCACGCUGCCGCUGUGCUAUGUCUUAGCUCGGGCACUGCAAAAGGCUGAAGAAAUUCUCAUGGCAAAGGUGCUGGCUCAUGCCCCACUGAAGCCACAAAGCAGUUUCUCAAGUGUUUUUCAGGACUCGCCUCACUCCUGUAACCAGUUAGGUUGUUCCUGCGUCAUCAGCGCUCCUGGGGCGACAGAACCUGACCAGGGAGGUGAGUGGUGCUGAGGCAGCCGAGCUCACCACUGACCCACUGGGAGAGCUGCCAGAGGGCUCUGUGGCAGGCAUCGCACUGGGGACACAAAGCAAAGCCACUCGCUGUCAGAGCUGCCCUCCUGGCUACUUUCAUCUUGAUCUGAUCCAUAUUGUGGUUUAGUAAGUCUAUUUUCUUCUGCUAGAGGUUCACGUUAAAUCCCAUGGGCUUCUUCCAAAACCUACCAGUGACUUGCACAGGAAUUUCCUCCUGUUCAGCCUAACAAGUUACAGCUUCGUCCAGCAGCUCCAAGCCAAGCUUCUGGCCAAGCUGCAAGGUAUGGGGCAGUGGGUGCUGCUUUGUACCCUAGCUCACUGUCCCCUGCGCUGUUAUGCCCCUAUUUUCCAAAGAGACACAGCAGACAUCUGCCCAGGAUCCUCCUGCAACAGCCCCCUUCUCGAGCACUGCAGGACAGGCUGUUUCUGUCACGGGGCAGACCACGGUUUGCUGGCCAGGGGGAUUUAAACCCGAGCCUGUGUGGAGAUGGGGCACAAAGCUGGAGCUUCUCCCUUUUCCCUUUUCCUCAAUGUGUUGGCACGCAGGCCUGUCUGCUGACUGUGGCAUGCAGAGCUCUCAGAAUGGCAGGGGAUGCCAAGUAUUAACGAAAGCACAAAAUUACUGGGUAAAAAAUCAGGAAAAGAACAGACAUAAAGACUCUCCAGAGGUUUCCACUGCUGGCUGGGAACAUUUACCUGCAGCUGGCUGACUCUAGUCACGCCAUCCUGCAGCUCGGCAGCUCCAAGCUAAGCCCUGCAAACACCCCGUCCUGUUUGGGAGUACCCCGGGAUGGCCGUAAGGGCUGGUUCAUGGGGCUGGGGCCAUAACUCCUCUGGGGAAAACAGCAGCUAUGGCCUGGGAGGGCCCUGCUCCUGUUAGGAUUGCCAUGAUUCACACCCUCCCAUGCCUCCCUCUGGGCAAAGCUGUCCUUCCUUGUUCAGAGUCCUGACGUGUGCAUGUUUCCAACACAGCAUGCUUGUGACUAAUCCACCUGUGCCUUUCAGGACGGCUGUAAAUGCCCCGUGGGCUGGGAGAGCAGCACACGUUGCCGCUUGCUGUGGCACUGAUCACAUUGGGAGCCCCAAUCCUGAGCCGUUUUUUUGGUGAGGGUAAGCUGCAAGGAUGGUUUGCUUGACUACCACAGGGCAGUGGAAAGCCCACCUUACAACACCAUGCUUCAGAUGGGCAGAUUUAGGCCUGGCUAUCUGAAAAAUCCUGUUCUUUUGAUAAUAACUGUUGUGUUUUUCUACCAGUCCACCCAAACACGCCAGUACCAGGGAAGACACCUCUCUUCUGUCCCACGCUGGGGGCGGGCACCCACAGAUGCCAAGAUCACCCUUACAGCUUCCUGGCCUGUAUUCCCCCCCAAGCAUCUCCCAGCCCCAGCCAGCAGAGCGAAGGCAAUGCUAGGGAUGGAAACCGGGAUGGACUGCGCAGGCAGUUGUGGGGCUGGGGGGAGGCUUGGCCAGGCUGCCAGGCCCCGGGCACAGCUCCAAGGAAAGCACUCCCCGUGCGGGCCUCAGGAUGCACCUGGCCAGCUGCCAGGCAAACCCUGCUUCGACUUUUGCUCCCGCAAUGACUACAUACGCACUGAACCACCUCAGACACUUUUCUGGCACCCCUUGUGCGUAUAAGCACUGGCCAUGCAGCCAUCCGGUACUCAGCGGGGAAGCCUAAGCCCAACCGCGCCUCACGCACGGGCCGCCUAAAGGCUCCUGCAAAAUGGCCGCCGCCCCGCUCCCGCCCAGGAACUGCAGCUCCCAGCAGCCCCCGCGCGCCUCCGCCCGCUGGCGGGCGGGGCUCCCCCGCCUACUCCGCGGCCGCCAUUCUGCUGGGGGCCUCAACCGACACCAAUCAGCGCUCAGCUCUGCGGGGCAGCCUGCGGAGAAGCCUGAUCAAAAAUAAAAUAUUUAAAAAACCCCCUGUCAUGUCGGGGAGUCGUUCCUCAAAACGCCCCCCGAACCGGAGGCAAUGACGCUCCUCUCUUUCCUAGCGGCCUCGGUUUGCUGCCAGCCGUCAUUUAU